rnacentral:rRNA from 1 species
CGGUGCUGAAGCAACAAAUGCCCUGCUUCCAGGAAAAGCCUCUAAGCAUCAGGUAACACGAAAUCGUACCCCAAACCGACACAGGUGGUCAGGUAGAGAAUACCAAGGCGCUUGAGAGAACUCGGGUGAAGGAACUAGGCAAAAUGGUGCCGUAACUUCGGGAGAAGGCACGCUGACACGUAGGUGAAGUGAUUUACUCAUGGAGCUGAAGUCAGUCGAAGAUACCAGCUGGCUGCAACUGUUUAUUAAAAACACAGCACUGUGCAAACACGAAAGUGGACGUAUACGGUGUGACGCCUGCCCGGUGCCGGAAGGUUAAUUGAUGGGGUCAGCGCAAGCGAAGCUCCUGAUCGAAGCCCCGGUAAACGGCGGCCGUAACUAUAACGGUCCUAAGGUAGCGAAAUUCCUUGUCGGGUAAGUUCCGACCUGCACGAAUGGCGUAAUGAUGGCCAGGCUGUCUCCACCCGAGACUCAGUGAAAUUGAACUCGCUGUGAAGAUGCAGUGUACCCGCGGCAAGACGGAAAGACCCCGUGAACCUUUACUAUAGCUUGACACUGAACAUUGAGCCUUGAUGUGUAGGAUAGGUGGGAGGCUUUGAAGUGUGGACGCCAGUCUGCAUGGAGCCGACCUUGAAAUACCACCCUUUAAUGUUUGAUGUUCUAACGUGGACCCGUAAUCCGGGUUGCGGACAGUGUCUGGUGGGUAGUUUGACUGGGGCGGUCUCCUCCUAAAGAGUAACGGAGGAGCACGAAGGUUGGCUAAUCCUGGUCGGACAUCAGGAGGUUAGUGCAAUGGCAUAAGCCAGCUUGACUGCGAGCGUGACGGCGCGAGCAGGUGCGAAAGCAGGUCAUAGUGAUCCGGUGGUUCUGAAUGGAAGGGCCAUCGCUCAACGGAUAAAAGGUACUCCGGGGAUAACAGGCUGAUACCGCCCAAGAGUUCAUAUCGACGGCGGUGUUUGGCACCUCGAUGUCGGCUCAUCACAUCCUGGGGCUGAAGUAGGUCCCAAGGGUAUGGCUGUUCGCCAUUUAAAGUGGUACGCGAGCUGGGUUUAGAACGUCGUGAGACAGUUCGGUCCCUAUCUGCCGUGGGCGCUGGAGAACUGAGGGGGGCUGCUCCUAGUACGAGAGGACCGGAGUGGACGCAUCACUGGUGUUCGGGUUGUCAUGCCAAUGGCACUGCCCGGUAGCUAAAUGCGGAAGAGAUAAGUGCUGAAAGCAUCUAAGCACGAAACUUGCCCCGA